rnacentral:rRNA from 1 species
AGAGUUUGAUCCUGGCUCAGAUUGAACGCUGGCGGUAGGCUUAACACAUGCAAGUCGAGCGGAAACGAAGAAUAGCUUGCUAUUCUGGCGUCGAGCGGCGGACGGGUGAGUAAUGCUUGGGAAUCUGCCUAGUCGAGGGGGACAACAGUUGGAAACGACUGCUAAUACCGCAUACGACCUACGGGUGAAAGGGGGCCUCUUCUUGAAAGCUCUCGCGACUAGAUGAGCCCAAGUGGGAUUAGCUUGUUGGUGAGGUAAGAGCUCACCAAGGCGACGAUCCCUAGCUGGUCUGAGAGGAUGAUCAGCCACACUGGAACUGAGACACGGUCCAGACUCCUACGGGAGGCAGCAGUGGGGAAUAUUGCACAAUGGAGGAAACUCUGAUGCAGCCAUACCGCGUGUAUGAAGAAGGCCUUAGGGUUGUAAAGUACUUUCAGCGAGGUGGAAAGGUAAGUAGUUAAUAACUGCUUACUGUGACGUUACUCGCAGAAGAAGCACCGGCUAACUCCGUGCCAGCAGCCGCGGUAAU